rnacentral:rRNA from 1 species
UACGGGGGGGGCAAGCGUUGUUCGGAAUUACUGGGCGUAAAGGGCUCGUAGGCGGCCAACUAAGUCAGACGUGAAAUCCCUCGGCUUAACCGGGGAACUGCGUCUGAUACUGGAUGGCUUGAGAUUGGGAGAGGGAUGCGGAAUUCCAGGUGUAGCGGUGAAAUGCGUAGAUAUCUGGAGGAACACCGGUGGCGAAGGCGACAUCCUGGACCAACACUGACACUGAGGAGCGAAAGCCAGGGGAGCAAACGGG